rnacentral:rRNA from 1 species
UACGUAGGGGGCAAGCGUUGUCCGGAUUUAUUGGGCGUAAAGAGCUCGUAGGCGGUCUGUUGCGUCCGCUGUGAAAACUCGGGGCUUAACCCCGGGUCUGCAUUCGAUACGGGCAGACUAGAGUGUGGUAGGGGAGAUCGGAAUUCCUGGUGUAGCGGUGAAAUGCGCAGAUAUCAGGAGGAACACCGGUGGCGAAGGCGGAUCUCUGGGCCAUUACUGACGCUGAGGAGCGAAAGCGUGGGGAGCGAACAGG